AGAGUUUGAUCCUGGCUCAGGAUGAACGCUGGCGGUAUGCUUAACACAUGCAAGUCGAACGGGAUAGCAAUAUCUAGUGGCGGACGGGUGAGUAACGCGUAAGAAUCUACCUACAGGACGGGGAUAACGUUGGGAAACUGACGCUAAAACCCGAUGUGCCGAGUGGUGAAAUAUUUAUAGCCUGUAGAUGAGCUUGCGUCUGAUUAGCUAGUUGGAGUGGUAACGGCACACCAAGGCGACAAUCAGCAACUGGUCUGAGAGGAUGACCAGUCACACUAGAACUGAGACACGGUCCAGACUCCUACGGGAGGCAGAAGUGGGGAAUUUUCCGCAAUGGGCGCAGGCCUGACGGAGCAAUACCGCGUGAGGGAUGAAGGUUCGUGGAUUGUAAACCUCUUUUUUCGGGGACGAUAAUGACGGUACCCUAAGAAUAAGCAUCGGCUAACUCCGUGCCAGCGCCGCGGUAAUAC
rnacentral:rRNA from 1 species